GGAGUGACUGCGGAGGUCAUUUGCACAUGUGUAUCCAACUUCAUUCUAAUGAUAUUGUGGGCAAGUGCGGGCAUGUAUUGCAAUGUGCUUGCAUGUGCCCUGGGCUGCAUGACUUGUUUUACAAUCAUGUGUGCUGCACUAUCUAAUAUACUUAAUCAACUGUUUGGUAAUUCUUCAUUGAUUACAAUGAUUAUGUUUUGCAAAGAAUGUAUUAGUUCAAUAAAUGAUGAAGAAUGCAGCAAAAUGCACUAUGCAUUGUGAAUUGCAGAAUUCCGUGAGCUAACAGAUGUUUGAAUGUUACUUGUACCUUUGGGAUAUUCUUGAAGGUGUGCUUGAUUCAAUGCAAACUGUCUUCCAUAUGCAAUAAUGCUGCUUAGCAUUGCUGUGAACAGUAGGGGUCAAUGUGUGUGCAUUGAACCUGGGUGUUGUGCAGCUGUUUGCAACCUAAACAUGUUUUCUUGGGGGCAAACUUGUUUCGUCAUUUGCUGGUUGAUAUGUGUAAAAAUGCAUAUUUGAAACAAGUUGAAUACUUGCAUUCACUUAGCGUGAAGUGAAGCACAUAAACCUGCUGAAUUUAAGCAUAUAAGUAAGUGUGAAAAUUAUAAACAC
rnacentral:rRNA from 1 species